rnacentral:lncRNA from 1 species
CGUCGACCAUUUCGAGACAGUCGUGUAGUGAAGUCUUCUCACGCUUCGUGAGCGUGCUCUUGCGAGUGGUGAUGAGUUUCUUGAUGGCGAAGUAGUUGUGUUCAACUGCAGUGAUGGUGAGGUUGAGCGACAGUCGUAUCACAUCUUUUGGGCUGUUCACUUUUGACACUGCAGCAGCUGGAGCUGCGGAGAGUGCUGAGAAGCAUAGCUCUGGGUACAAUGUGGCACUGCAGGAGGAACUGAUAACUGGGUGAGCGUAAGCAUGAGCAUGAGCCGCAAUGUGCUCAUCAUUUGUGUUGCUAGAGUUGUUCUUUCUGGUGGCAAUUAUAGUGA